rnacentral:lncRNA from 1 species
UUCACGUAUGAAAUUGUGUAGAACCAUAGUAGCAGCAACAAUCUUCUUUUGUGUGAUCCUUGAAUAACCGGGCAUCUUGUAAAGGAUUUGCCACUUCAUUUUUAAUACUCCAAAUGAGGAGACCAAUGAUCAAUACCAAUAGUAGUUAUGUCAGAAAAACACUUGGCUAAUUCAUCUUCAUUCUCAAGACCCUUCUUUUUGAACUUUCCACAACCCGGAAUGUCCUGAAAUAAGAAAAAUAAUAGUAUUAUUAUAAGCAUUACCAACAAAAUCGACAUAUGCAAAACAAAUAUAUCAUCAAAAUUGAACCAACUUACAGCUCUAGCUUUUUUCCACCAUUCGUCAUCCAUAGCUAUAGUCUUCUUUAUAGGAUCCCAACCAGUCCCUGUUUGCCUCAGCAUUAGUU